AGCUGCCGUAAGUUUUCCAUUCUGGCAAGACUGACCAGGCGAACGGCAGCGUGUCUCCUGGGUUCACUUUCUCUCCUGUUUUACAGGUCAGUAAUGUGGUCAAAAACAUAAAGAAAUACACAGCUGGACACUGUGAUACUUAGACUUUCAUGACAUAAGACGGGUCUGUGAUAUGUGAUGUAUUACACUGUCGCUAUGUGAGCUACUUUAGCUCUGUAGGAUGUUAUAGCUAGGCUGUAUGCCUGGGUAACGCUAGCAAGCUGUUGCAACUGCGUAUAAUACUCCAUAUAAUAAUAGGAAGCACCAACCCGGUUGGGUUUACAGUUCCUGAUAAACUUGUAGCUUUGUGUUCAUGGCAAAUGUUUUGUAUAAUGUGUCUGUAAAGUGUUCUGAGCCCGCCUGAAGUCAUGUGUAAACUUGCUGUUUCAGUGUUAGAAUCUAACUGGUCUGAAAAAGACAUGAAGCGAGAGAGAGCUAAUAAGAGUACGGCCAACAAAAAUGCUGGCAAGGACAGUAGUGCAGUAAUGUUGAAAGUAGAGUUUCCUUUCUAUGAUAAGACACUACCAUGAUGAUGUGAAUUAUUUUGUUUAUCUGUUUUAUGGGAAAAGAGGUGUAGUUUUCAUUUGUUUCAUUCAUUUCAACCCUUUGUUGUUUUAUGCCAGUGGUGUGGAUUAAUAUUGAAAUGUACUGGUGGAAAACAAGCCAUGUGAGGGAAUGAGCAGUUAUAGUGCAAUUGAGUUACCAAAAGAGUGGAGCAGAUAUGCUCGUGUUGUAUGAAUAAAUUCUGGCAAGACUGACCAGGCGAACGUCAGCGUGUCUCCUGUGUUCACUUUCUCUCCUGUUUUACAGGAUCGUAAUCUGGCUACGCGCCCAUCAUAGUGGGGCCUGUAACAUCACUGAUAUUCAGCGUGUACAGUUGAUGAAAACACUCGCUUGAAUUAUUGAACAAUCUGCACGGACAGCAGCUGUUCAGGAGUCACGCAGGGCGGGAGACACUGUGACGUUUCACAGGCUGACUGCACGCCUGCGACAGCAUGAUGAGGGCACACUGAAACACACCGCAGUUUUGGUUUGCUGCAGGCGGAUGACUUAAGUUUGGCUGUUUCCUUCAUAAAUACCAGCAGGACUCAAAUAGACAUGAGCACUCCACAGAUCAUGGCAACAGCAGCAAGAAGACAUCCAGCGAUGAAGACCAGGUUCAGGUUCAGGUUCAGGUUGUUCCCUGAAGACCACAAAAGAACCUUUUACCUCAGCAUUGUUCACAUUU